rnacentral:rRNA from 1 species
UACGGAGGGUGCGAGCGUUAAUCGGAAUUACUGGGCGUAAAGCGCACGUAGGCGGUUUGGUAAGUUGGAUGUGAAAGCCCUGGGCUUAACCUGGGAAUUGCAUCCAAGACUGCCAGGCUAGAGUACGGUAGAGGGGGGUAGAAUUCCACGUGUAGCGGUGAAAUGCGUAGAGAUGUGGAGGAAUAUCAGUGGCGAAGGCGGCCCCCUGGACUGAUACUGACGCUGAGGUGAGAAAGCGUGGGGAGCAAACAGG